UACGGAAGGCAGCAGUGGGGAAUAUUGCACAAUGGGCGCAAGCCUGAUGCAGCCAUGCCGCGUGUAUGAAGAAGGCCUUCGGGUUGUAAAGUACUUUCAGCGGGGAGGAAGGCGAUGUGGUUAAUAACCGCGUCGAUUGACGUUACCCGCAGAAGAAGCACCGGCUAACUCCGUGCCAGCAGCCGCGGUAAUACGGAGGGUGCAAGCGUUAAUCGGAAUUACUGGGCGUAAAGCGCACGCAGGCGGUCUGUUUAAGUCAGAUGUGAAAUCCCCCGGGCUUAACCUGGGAACUGCAUUUUGAAACUGGCAGGCUUGAGUCUCGUAGAGGGGGUAGAAUUCCAGGUGUAGCGGUGAAAUGCGUAGAGAUCUGGAGGAAUACCGGUGGCGAAGGCGGCCCCUGGGACGAAGACUGACGCUCAGGUGCGAAAGCGUGGGGAGCAAACAGGAUUAGAUACC
rnacentral:rRNA from 1 species